rnacentral:lncRNA from 1 species
CAGUGAAGUGAUUGAUGAUACAGAGUGUUGAAAGGUAAUACACAGUGGUGAUACAUAUAAAGGGUAGGGUGAUUGAUGAUACAGAGUGGUGAAAGAUAUAUACACUAUGAGGAUUGAUGAAACAGAGUGGUGAUAGAUACAUACAGAGAGGUGAUAGCUAUAUACAGUGUGGUAAUUGGUGAUACAGAGUGGGGAUAGAUGUCUAGUGUGGUGAUAGAGAAGUGGUGAUAGAUAUAUACAGAGAGGUGAUAGCUAUAUACAGUGUGGUAAUUGGUGAUACAGAGUGGGGAUAGAUGUCUAGUAUGGUGAUAGAGAUAAACAAUAUAGUGACUGAUGAUACAGAGUGGUGAAAAAUAUAUUCAGUUUGGUGAUUGAUGAUACAGAGUGGUGAUAGAUAUAUACAGUAAGGUUAUUAAUUAUACAGAGUGGUGAUAGAUAUGUAGAGUGUGGUCAUAGAUAUCUAUUCCUCAAUUUGGUGUCCUACAGAUACAGUCCUACAUAUAUCGCUAGGCUGUAUUUAUAUACUAUCCAGAUAUCAGUCAUGUGGUGUGCUUUAAUAUGUUCUGUUUGUUUUUCAAAUAUCUCUAUAUAGCAAUAAGAAUCCCACCCAUUUUCUGAAAAGAUACACACACAAACACCAGUCUUUU